rnacentral:rRNA from 1 species
AUUGAACGCUGGCGGCAUGCUUUACACAUGCAAGUCGAACGGCAGCGCGGGCGGGGGUAACCUCGCCUGGCGGCGAGUGGCGAACGGGUGAGUAAUAUAUCGGAACGUACCCAAGAGUGGGGGAUAACGUAGCGAAAGUUACGCUAAUACCGCAUACGAUCUAAGGAUGAAAGUGGGGGAUCGCAAGACCUCAUGCUCCUGGAGCGGCCGAUAUCUGAUUAGCUAGUUGGUGAGGUAAAGGCUCACCAAGGCGACGAUCAGUAGCUGGUCUGGGAGGACGACCAGCCACACUGGGACUGAGACACGGCCCAGACUCCUACGGGAGGCAGCAGUGGGGAAUUUUGGACAAUGGGCGCAAGCCUGAUUCAGCAAUGCCGCGUGAGUGAAGAAGGCCUUCGGGUUGUAAAGCUCUUUUGUCAGGGAAGAAACGGCUGAGGAUAAUACCUUCGGCUAAUGACGGUACCUGAAGAAUAAGCACCGGCUAACUACGUGCCAGCCGCCGCCGUAAAAC